GAUACUGCCACCCAAAGUACAGACAUCUGAGGGGAACACUCCGAGCAAAAGCAGCUUUUCUGGCAGGUACCAAGUCCACCUGAAACCUGGAUCAGUCCUCACAGUUUCUGUUGACAAUACUCAAAAUAACCAAUUCAAAAGAACCAAUGGGGAAACUUCAUUUCCAAAAGAGAACUCAAAGUUGCCUAGGACUGAGAAGUUUCAACCCAAAGGGAUCUCCCUGAGAUACAAUUUCCGGGCUGUUGCCAAUCAGACUAAAAUUACCCUCAAUGAGAGAUUCUCUGGCCUGAAGGUCAUCGAGGGGGAUUUCGGAAUUACCAAACCUGGGAACAGAAUCGUCACACUGUCUUAAAUGUUCAUGGCUCUGAUAAUACAGAGUCAGGAGUUGCUUAAUGCAUUUUUUUUUUGCUAGAGACAGUGAUUUUUCUUCCAAUGGUUUGCUAACUAGACUUUCCACUUUAUGCUACAGUUUCAGUGACCCAUUACUGUUGUGUGUAUACAUAUGCCCUGAGGAACAAAAUCCCUGUGGGUUCUCUCUUCAUGUUUCUUUACUAGAAAAGUUGUCAGGUGAUGUAGGACACGGAAGGGGGGAAGCAUCAGCACAGUUUCUGACAGUAGCCCCAUUGUUCUUUCCUCUUGGGGUGCCCUGUCGCAGCACAGGGCUCGUUCACUCCCCGUUCACUUGUUCAUUAAAACUAGGGAAUCCAUUUCAGAUCCUGCUCCAUCAUUCAAGUAAACUAGUCCACAGGGGCUGCUCUGCCCAAAGCCUUGGGAGAGCAGUCACUCAAUGCAGCUGAACUUGACAUUUCCAUUGAAACAUCUGGGACAUUAAGUGGCACUGGGCGUUAACAUGGCUUUGUAGAGAUUUAGAGGUAGUUGAAUUCUAAGAUGGAGCACUGUCUGCUGUGUGUACGCAAGCCAAAUAAAGAGUUUGGAAACCAGA